rnacentral:lncRNA from 1 species
UUUAUGUUAAUGCAAUUUGCCUUUUGCUCACUUGAGCACAUAAUUGUGUAUAUACUAUUGUGCUUGGGUUUUGUUUUGAUUGUUGUGGACAAAAUGCCAAAAUUGACAAAUGGACAUAGACUUUAGGACUUUCCCUAUGCUAAUUUGGAGUCAAAGAGCAACUAGGCCUCAUGCCUUUAGAAUGCUUAAAGCUUGAAGAUGACCUUGAAAGGACCAACUUCUAAA